AGCAACCAGACUGCAGUGCCAGAAUUCGGAUUUAACAGAACCAGGGGUCCAGGCGGCAGACCUUACUACAAACCUAAGUGCUGUGGUGGAGGAAGAAGCUAUACAAGGGUUGCUCCAAAAGCCACUGAGGAAGAUCAGGAGGAUCGAAACACGUAUGGCUGGCAUAAAGGAACUACUUUGAUUGCUUACUCUCCAGAGGAAUUCCAAUAAGAAGAGCAUAGACUUUUGGCUAGCUCCAAUAUAAACAACUGCAGUGCACUUGUUUACGUACAUGUUGUAGGAAUUGCAGUAUUAUUAUUUUAUGGAAUUUUAUUUGAUUCAUGUUUUUCCAUUGUGAUUUUACACAUUUGCAACUUACAUAGUGAAAAUAAAAUUGUGGUUUCUAUGUUUACAACA